rnacentral:rRNA from 1 species
AUUGAACGCUGGCGGCAGGCUUAAAACAUGCAAGUCGAACGAGUGGCGGACGGGUGAGUAAUGCUGGGGAAUCUAGCUUAUGGAGGGGGAUAACUACGGGAAACUGUAGCUAAUACCGCGUACCAUCGGAAGAGCCCAAGUGGGAUUAGGUAGUUGGUGAGGUAAAGGCCCACCAAGCCGACGAUCUCUAGCUGGUCUGCGAGGAUGACCAGCCACACUGGGACUGAUACUCGGCCCAUGCUCCUACGGGAGGCAGCAGUGGGGAAUAUUGCGCAAUGGGGGCAACCUGACGCAGCCAUGCCGCGUGAAUGAAGAAGGUAUUCGGGUUGGAAAGUUCUUUCGGUAGCGAGGCGUUAACUACAGAAGAAGCACCGACUAACUCCGUGCCAGCAGCCGCGGUAAUUC